UUGAAAGGGAAACGAUUGAAGUCAGUCGUACCUGUGGGUAAUCAGCCUUUUGGGUGUGAUUUUGUGGAGUGUGAGGAGUUAAACGCCUUCAUGCCUGCAUAUUCGUGCACUUUGGGUGUAUUUACCCGUGUGGUAAGUUAACAUCAAUUUCGGUGGUCAUAAAAUGGCUGGAGGAAUGUAGCUUCGAUCUUGUAUUGAAGUGUUAUAGCCUUCGGUAGAUGUGAUGAUCGGGAUUGAGGAUUGCAACGGAUACCCCUCGGGGCUACCUGUCUGAUCUCUGAUCGUUGCUCUGGUGCCGAAAGCUUGCUUACGGAUAUCAAAGUCGAUGGUCAAUAGGUUAGAACGGGUUAAAUUCGUUAAGGAUGUUGACGUA
rnacentral:rRNA from 1 species